rnacentral:rRNA from 1 species
UGGGGAAUAUUGCACAAUGGACGGAAGUUUGAUGCAGCGACGCCGCGUGGAGGGUGUAGGCCUUCGGGUUGUGAACUCCUUUUUCUCGCGAAAAAGGCACAGUUUUGGCUGUGUUGAUGGUAGUGGGGGAAGAAGCGCCGGCUAACUACGUGCCAGCAGCCGCGGUAAUACGUAGGGCGCGAGCGUUGUCCGGAUUUAUUGGGCGUAAAGAGCUCGUAGGUGGUUCGUCGCGUCUGUCGUGAAAGCCAGCAGCUUAACUGUUGGUCUGCGGUGGGUACGGGCGGGCUUGAGUGCGGUAGGGGUGACUGGAAUUCCUGGUGUAGCGAUGGAAUGCGCAGAUAUCAGGAGGAACACCGAUGGCGAAGGCAGGUCACUGGGCCGUUACUGACACUGAGGAGCGAAAGCGUGGGGAGCGAACAGG